UAGGGAAUAUUGCGCAAUGGGGGAAACCCUGACGCAGCAACGCCGCGUGAGUGAGGAAGGCCUUCGGGUUGUAAAACUCUGUCCUAAGGGAAAAAUGGUAUAAUGGUUAAUACCCAUUGUAUUUGAUGGUACCUUAGAAGAAAGCACCGGCUAACUUCGUGCCAGCAGCCGCGGUAAUACGAAGGGUGCAAGCGUUGUUCGGAUUUAUUGGGCGUAAAGCGCGCGCAGGCGGGUUUGUAAGUCAGAUGUGAAAUCUCGGGGCUCAACCUCGAAACAGCGUCUGAAACUGCGAAUCUAGAAUGUCGGAGGGGGCAGGGGAAUUUCUCGUGUAGGGGUAAAAUCCGUAGAUAUGAGAAGGAACACCGGUGGCGAAAGCGCCUGCCUGGACGAUUAUUGACGC
rnacentral:rRNA from 1 species